UGUAAUGUGCGAACUAGGUGUGAUUGGGAUUGUUUCAUAUCCUUGGAUAUAACUUGAUAUAAAGAUUUGAUAUAUGGGGUUCGUAUCAAAUGGAAAAGUUUCAAAGGUUAGAAUCUAUGUAACAAUCAGUUCCAAUCAGGUUUACUAAGAAAAAGUGAUCAAGGUUUGCAGUAUUGAUCCAUAACCAUAUCGCACAGGCACCCAACUGAUACUCUUACAAUGGGUGUACUAAGUGUCAAUAUGCCCAACUGACCCUGUACUAACAAUAAAAACACUGAAUCAAUAUGAUAUAGUUUUAUGAAGGAUAGAAUUUGGUAAGGUGUUUAGGGGAAUUUGAUGUUUUCUAUUUCGAAGAAUAGAGUUCAGAAUGGAAGUCGAUACUUGUAUUUUGUUAGAAUAAGAUCAAAGAGAUUGUAAGAGCAAAAUUUGAGGAUUCAUGUCAGGAAGAUGAAUCCCUUUAUUGAGAUGGAAAUAAGAUAAUUAUGCUGCAACUGUAAUUCUAAAGAACCU
rnacentral:lncRNA from 1 species